GCCGGUGUAGCUCAGGGGUAGAGCACGCGUUUCGUAAACGCGCGGCCAGGAGUUCAAAUCUCCUCACCGGCU
rnacentral:tRNA from 1 species